CAACCUGGUGGCGAGUGGCGAACGGGUGAGUAAUACAUCGGAACGUGCCCAAUCGGUGGGGGAUAACGUAGACGAAAGUUACGCUAAUACCGCAUACGAUCUACGGAUGAAAGCGGGGGAUCGCAAGACCUCGCGCGAAUGGAGCGGCCGAUGUCAGAUUAGGUAGUUGGUGGGGUAAAGGCUCACCAAGCCAAUGAUCUGUAGCUGGUCUGAGAGGACGACCAGCCACACUGGAACUGAGACACGGUCCAGACUCCUACGGGAGGCAGCAGUGGGGAAUUUUGGACAAUGGGCGCAAGCCUGAUCCAGCCAUUCCGCGUGCAGGAUGAAGGCCUUCGGGUUGUAAACUGCUUUUGUACGGAACGAAACGGUCUGCCCUAAUACGGCGGGCUAAUGACGGUACCGUAAGAAUAAGCACCGGCUAACUACGUG
rnacentral:rRNA from 1 species